rnacentral:sRNA from 17 species
AUGUACCAACUCGCACACUGCAGUUGCUGCGCGCCGGCCACACCUAACUGACAGGUGCUCGCUACGUUGUGUUAGCC